UUGUUGCAGUUAAAAAGCUCGUAGUUGAAUAUCUGGUAUAACGUACCUGGCCCGCAGCCUUUAGGCUUGUGUGUGCCGGCGCACGUUUGCCAUCUUUCUAGAAAACGGGUCUGCCAUUAACUUGGUGGGUUCGGGAUCUAGAUCAUUUACUUUGAAAAAAUUAGAGUGUUUAAAGCAAGCAAUUGCUCUGAAUACAUUAGCAUGGAAUAAUAAUCUAGGACUUCGGUUCUAUUUUGUUGGUUUCUAAAACUGAAGUAAUGAUUGAUAGGGACAGUUGGGGGUGCUAGUAUUGGCCGGCCAGAGGUGAAAUUCUUGGAUUCGGUCAAGACUAACUUAUGCGAAAGCAUUCACCAAGGAUGUCUUCUUUAAUCAAGAACGAAAGUUGGGGGAUCGAAGACGAUCAGAUACCGUCGUAGUCUCAACCAUAAACUAUGCCAACUAGGGAUGGGUGAACGUUGCUUUUUCGACUUCAUCCGCACCUUAUGAGAAAUCAAAGUCUUUGGGUUCCGGGGGGAGUAUGGUCGCAAGGCUGAAACUUAAAGGAAUUGACGGAAGGGCACCACCAGGAGUGGAGCCUGCGGCUUAAUU
rnacentral:rRNA from 1 species